AAAAAAGUUUAUAAAGGAUAUCUAAGUAAAUAAAAAAAAGGGACGUAAAAAUAGGAACGAAAAGUUAUAAGGAAAACCUUAGAAAUCAUAUAGCAGUAUAGGUUGAAGAGUUAUAAAUAUCCCAACAGAAAACUGAAAAGAAGAAAAAACAUAGUGAAGUGAAACAUCUCAGUAACUAUAGGAAAAGAAAUUAACAAAGAUUUUGAAAGUAGUGGUGAGCGAAAUUAAAGCAGAGUAAGAAUUUAUUAUAAUAAAAAAUGAAAUAAGGUGGAAUUCCUUUAUAAAAUAAGGUGAAAGUCCUGUAGUAAAUAAAAAAUAAAAAGAUUUGAGUAAAAUGAAAAACGUAAAUUUUCAUUUGAACAUUGGGAGUCCACUCUCAAACUCUACAUAUGUUUAUUUGACUGAUAGUGUACAAGUACUGUGAAGGAAAGAUGAAAAAGGUAUUUAGGAUGAGUUCUAAAUUGUGAAAAGAACUUGAAAUUGUAAAUUUAAACGAGCAGUUGACUAAUUUUAAAAAUAUUAAACAACGUACCUUUUGUAUAAUGGGUCAGCGAGUUAAUUAAUAUAGCAAGCUUAAAACGAUAGUUGUAGGCGUAGCGAAAGCAAAUUUUAAAAGGUUCUUUUAUAGUUAUAUUUUUUAGACCCGAAACCAAGUGAUCUAAUUAUGAAUACGUAUUUUUCUAAUUUUCACAAAUUUUAAAUUUGACGGUAUCCGUGCCUGUUGCAAUAGGCUGGAAUGAUUUGUAAUUAGGAGUGAAAGGCUAAUCAAACUUGGUGAUAGCUGUUUUUUACGAAAUCUAUGUAGGUAGAGUGAUAUUAUAAGAAUAUUAGAGGUAGAGCACUGAGUGAUUAGAAUGGACAAAAUUUGUUUUAUCAUUUAAACUUCGAAUGCUAGUAUUUACUUUAAUAUUAAUCAGACUUUGAGUGCUAAGGUUCAAGGUCGAAAGGGAAACAGCCCAGAUUGUAAGUUAAUGUUCGGAAAUAAUUAUAAAGUGUCGAAGGCAUGAAUAAAGUGAUGUUAAUUGGGAGGUAGGCUUGGAAGCAGCCAUCCUUUAAAGAAAGCGUAACAGCUCACCGAUUUAAGGCUUUUGUUUUGGCCAACAAUGUAUAUGAACUAAGUUUUAUACAGAAACUACAAAAUUAAUAAAAUUGGUAGUAAAAUGUUUAGUAUAUUUUUGAAGUAAAAUUAAUAAAAUUUUUAUGGAAAUAUCUAAAUUAAGAAUGCUGAUAUGAGUAAUGUAAAAUAAUAUAAAAAUAUUAUCACUGAAUAUUAAAGGUUUCCUAAUAAUUGUUAAACAUAUUAGGGUUACUCGGUUCCUAAGAUUUUUUAUGAAAAUAUAAGAUUGAUGGAUAUUUAGAUUAAAAAUUCUAAAGUUUAUUUAUUGACAAUGCCAUAUUUUAAUUAAAAAUUUUAAAUUUAUUUUAAAAUUAAAAUAUUUCGUUUUAAAAAUAAUUAAAUAAUUAAUAAACCGUACUUAAACCGACACAGGUUAAUUGAUAGGGAAUAUUAAAGUGUAGAGUGAAUAUUAUUGAAGGAACUCGGCAAAUUGACUCUGUAACUUCGGGAGAAAGAGUGCCUCAAUUGAAGGCCAUAGAAAAUAGGGAGUGGCGACUGUUUAAUAAAAACACAGGGCUCUGCAAAAUAGUAAUAUGAUGUAUAGGGCUUUAGGUUGAAGGCCCAUUAAUAUAGAAAUAUAUUAAUAACUUAUACAAAUUUAAUGAAUAGCUGGGAAAUUUAUUAAUUUAAAAUACUUAAAAUAUUUUUCAAAUAAUCAGCAAAAAAAUGACUUAUUGUGAUAAGUUAUACUUUUUCAACGACUAAAAAUUAAACAUUCAAAAUUUUGAAUGACGAUAUAGUCUAAUCUUUUAAAAACUAAUUAAAAGAGUAAUAAUUUUAAUUAUUACUUAUUUAUAAACAUAUACAACAAAAUUUUAAAGAUGAAAGAAAUAAUAAAACUAAUAUUAGAUAAUAAUGAAAUUGUAAUUCCAAGUUUAAGGAAUUUAGAAAAAAUACAAGUUAUAGAAAAUAUGAAUAAUUUAGCAUUAACACAAAUUCAAAAAGAGUUUCUUUACGGAACUUUAUUAGGGGACGGAAAUUUAAAUACAAAAACAGGUAUAAAUAUUAGAUUUGCAGCACAUCAUGGUGCUAUGCAAAGAGAUUAUUUAUAUCAUAAAUAUGAUUUAUUAAAAUCAAUUACAAAAAUGAUUCCUUAUGAAUCAAAACAAGUAAAUAAACAAACUGGAAUAGUAAAUAUGAGUUAUCAUUUUGCAACAGUUACUAAUAUUGAUUUGGCAAAUAUGUGGUCAAUAUUUUAUAAAGAUUCAAGAAAAAUUAUACCACAAAAUAUAAGCGAAUAUAUAACACCAAGAAGUUUAGCAUAUUGGUUUAUGGAUGAUGGUUAUAAAAUGACUCGUGGAGGCUAUUGUUUGGCAACAAAUAAUUGUACAAAGGAUGAAUUACAAUUUCUACAACAAAUGUUUUUCGAAAAAUUUGAUAUAAAGACUUCUUUACAGAAAGCAGGUAUUGGUAAAAAUAAAAUGCAACAAUAUAAUAUAUAUAUUGUUUCCGAAUCAAAAGAAAAAUUUCAAGACUUAAUU
rnacentral:rRNA from 1 species